rnacentral:lncRNA from 1 species
UGCAUUUACAUAUCAAUGUACAUAUACGCUAAUAACUGCAUAAAGUGAUAAUACGUGUCUAUAUGGUCAUAUAUAUCAGUGUCUAUAGAAAUGUAUCUGUGAACUAUCAACGCGAAAGGGUGUAUCUGCAUGCGUAUAUCAGUGUACAUAUCAAUAUAUACGCAUAAACACGUAUAAACAUAUCAGUAUAUACAUAUCGUAUAUAUACACACUGUAUAUAUUAUAUAUAAACUACUAAUAAGUAUCUAUAAGGUAAAGAGAUCCGCUUCAAUGAUAAGUUGCUUUCAUGCUUGUUGAUUACAAGCAAACUCGAUAAAGAUGAAGCUCAUCAAUAAUAAUAAGAACAAGUUCAAAUAAGAUAAAAAAUUUAGAUGGAUUAUCACAAUUGGGUAUUUAGCAUACCCAACUCAUCAAGAGAAGAAACCAUUCUUAUGCUUAAUUCUAUACAUAGUAAUAUGGAAUUUCGCCUCAGCAUAUCUGAUUAUAGGUGAUAGCCAGAAGCAGUGAUUCAAAAAGCGGACCGCUUAGCGCCUAGGCAGGCACCCAACGCCCAACCCAAGGCUUGCUCCCCACUUAGGCGGUAUGGAACCCACCUAGGCGGGCGUUCUCCUAAAGGUGGAAAUUCCUUUUUUUUUUAAGUUGACAAAAAUUGAUCAAGACAUCACCCAUUGAUAUUAGAUUUAAGUUUUGAUGUUUUAUAAAUCUAUUGGGAGGUUUUUUAGAAAAUUUUGAGUCCUUAAAAGCAUCUUUGACUGGGCCGCCUAGGUUCUGAGCGCCCCCUCCUAGGCGCUGGGCGUCCUGGACCUCCCAAGCCGCCUAGGACCCACCUAGCGCUUUCUGAAACACUAGCCAGAUGAAAUAAUCUCCAGCUUUAAUACCCAAUUUUAUCACAGUUUGAAAAAUUGUAUAUUCAAGGAAAAGUCAUUCAAAGGGAAGAUAAUGAUUCGAAUAGAAAGAAUUGAGAGAAAAAUAAUAAAAAUUAGCAGGGGGGAUAGGUUAAUUCUCCUUUCUGGCUGCAACAGCCACCUGUGAAUUCAUAUACAUAUCAAUGUACAUAUACGCUAAUAACUGUAAAAACUGAGAAAAAAAGUGUCUAUAUGCACUAUCAACGCGUAAAGGUGCAUGUACGUGAGCAUAUUAGUGUAUAUGUUUGUGACUGUGUUUGUGUUUAUGUUUGUGAGUGUGAGAGUGAGUGUGAGUGUGAGUGUGAGUGUAAGUGCGUGUGUAGUAUAUAAAUUAGUGUACAUAUACAAUAAUACAUGUAUAAAUUGAAAAUAAGUAUUUAUAUGGUCAUUUACAUCAAUAUAUAUAUAUCAGUGUACAAAUACAUUAAUACAUGUAUAAAUUGAAAAUAAG